GCAAACUUGGUCAUUUAGAGGAAGUAAAAGUCGUAACAAGGUUUCCGUAGGUGAACCUGCGGAAGGAUCAUUACAAAUCCAACGUCUCCCUUUCGAGACCUCGUUGAAACACACUCACUAUGAUGUAUCGCAUGAAGAGGAGGGUGGUGACGAUAAUGGGUGGUGAUGGGUGGUAGUGGUAGUGGUGGUGAUGAUGAUGGUAGUGGGUGGUAGUGAUCUCACACAUCUCUCUCUCUCGUCUAUCAUCAUCUUCCCCGUCCGCCCCAUCUCAUCUCAUCUCAUCUCACUCCUUCUCCUCAUGUGAUGCGAUAUAGCCAAGAAUCAUCGUUGAUCAUUUGUAUCUUGCUGAAAUAACGCAGAAACAACUUGUACCAAUGGAUCUCUAGGCUCCUGCAUCGAUGAAGAACGCAGC
rnacentral:misc_RNA from 1 species